rnacentral:misc_RNA from 1 species
GUAGGUACUUAUCUCUCUCUUUUUAUUUUUGGAAAGAGGUGAGUACUUAGACUAUUUACUUUUGGAAAGUGGAACUCCUGGACACUCCAUAUCCUGGGCAAUGUUUUCAUUACGGUUCAUACUUCCACAACAGCCUUGAUGAUUGCACAGAAAAGUUAGUAGGUUCAUGUAGUAGAGGCGAGAGGAAGUUAAGCAUAGAACAAAUGCUGUGGAUUAACAUGGCAAAGAAAUCAUUUAAUAUCACAACAACUAAUUUGUCAAAUUAGAAUUGACUGGAAGAAAUUAUCCACGUUGCCGAUAGUUACUCGUUUAGCAUGGCGAGAACCAUGAACAGAAUUUGAGAGGAAACAAAAAAAACACUAUAUUACGUAACAAGUUUCUUUGUAUUUUUCCUAAAUGGAUUCCUCUAGAAUCAUAGAAGACAAAAGAGUGGGUCAAUUUUGUACUUUCAUUGGAAAUGAGAAAGAAAAGGGUAUUGAAUCUUGUAAACUUUAUGUAAGUGACUUGUGAAGAAAGAAAUGCACACAGGGAAAGAAAAGAAAAGGAAAAGAAAUACUGUGCUCAUAUGAUCAUUGCAAAUUAUGUUGGUGGCCAAAAGCCCUAAGAUCUUAUUAUCAAUAUUUGUUGUGGGUGUAUUUUAUUAUUAUUGGUCAUCUAUGGGAUUAAUUGUUCUUUUGUUAAUAUGUGCAAGUUUUGUGAUUGAUUUAUUGAAUGACUCAACUGAAAAUAAAAAGUCUAUUUUGCCCAUAAUUUCACUUUAUGCAGUGCAUGGUUGCAAGGUAAAACCUUCUUCCUCUGAACAUAGCCUUCUUUCUUUGAACAUUUGGAAGUCAUAAUGCUCAGUUGAUUUUUAUACUCUGAAUAUGGCAAUUAGAUAAGGUCUGCACCAUGGUCUAAAGAAUGUCAAUAUUUUGAGAUUGUGAAACUGUGGUCAAAUUCAUUUACAUAAAUUCUGGCGAUGAUGUUCUCCAAAUUGUGUGGGUGCACUUACCUAUCUAUGGAUUGGUUUUAAAGAAAUUCUUUAGAAGACUUUCAAAUGAUUCAUCUCUUAUUACUCAAAGGAGAACCAAAUUAGAAGGAAAGAGAAUGGCAUAAGCCUGUGAGAGUCAAAAUUGACAAGAACUUCUACAUUUCUUGGUGAAAAAUUUAAGUUACAGCUGUAUAAAAUCCAGAUGCAAGAAAUAAUCUAGAAUUCAUAAACUAGAAUUUGUGUUUUGUUAGUUAUCAGCAAAUGUAAGAAAUUCUGAAUGUAAUGUGAAUUUCGAAAGAUCUUAUGUUUGUUUAACAAUGCAUUUCCAAAGCUAAUAAUAUAAUUCUAGAUGAUUUGGCUAUUUUUUUGACUUGAAGACGUAUCUGUAAAUAACUUGUUUUGAACAGUGGGGUAGAUUAGACUUCUAGAUUACUCACUUAAUCUUGGCUAGCAUGUCUUGCAAUUUUUGUUAAUCAUAGUAAUUUACUAAUUUUCCAAUUGAGUUGAUUGUGUUUUUUGUUAUCAGCCUUGAGAUAAAUAUUUUUAUAUUUAUAGACUGAACCUCUUUUUGUGUCUUUUUCAGCCAGUGUCUAGCAACUUUCUUG